GAUGAACGCUGGCGGCGUGCCUAAUACAUGCAAGUCGAGCGAAUGGACGAGAAGCUUGCUUCUCUGAUGUUAGCGGCGGACGGGUGAGCAACACGUGGAUAACCUACCUAUAAGACUGGGAUAACUUCGGGAAACCGGAGCUAAUACCGGAUGAUAUUUUGAACCGCAUGGUUCAAAAGUGAAAGACGGUCUUGCUGUCACUUAUAGAUGGAUCCGCGCUGCAUUAGCUAGUUGGUAAGGUAACGGCUUACCAAGGCAACGAUGCAUAGCCGACCUGAGAGGGUGAUCGGCCACACUGGAACUGAGACACGGUCCAGACUCCUACGGGAGGCAGCAGUAGGGAAUCUUCCGCAAUGGGCGAAAGCCUGACGGAGCAACGCCGCGUGAGUGAUGAAGGUCUUCGGAUCGUAAAACUCUGUUAUUAGGGAAGAACAUAUGUGUAAGUAACUGUGCACAUCUUGACGGUACCUAAUCAGAAAGCCACGGCUAACUACGUG
rnacentral:rRNA from 1 species